rnacentral:lncRNA from 1 species
AGGGAAAGCAAAAAGCCAAUGGUGAAAAAUAAUCCCCUGAAUAUUUCAGGCAGUUUCUUUCUUUAAAAAAAAAAAAAAAAAGUGUUAAUGACUCUCAGCAUAUUGGGAAGGCCUAAUUUAAUUUUCUAAUAGUGCAACCUUUUGUGAGACACUCCAUUAGCUAAUUGAAUGCAUUUCAUUUAUUUGUUUCCAACUUGGGUGACUUUGUUUUCCUAUCCACCUUCCUGUGGUGAAAAGCAAAUAUAAUAUUCCCCAACAGAAGAUUGCUGUUCCUUUGUUCAUCCAUCAAUUUAAACUAGGAUUACUUUCCAAGCACUUAAUAAGGUGCAUGUCUUAUGAGUGCUUUAUAAAAAUGACAGAGCUGCAACACUGCCUGUUGGUGCUGGCUGCCUUCCAGUGAUGGACCAAAGACACAGUGGGAUCACAGAUUUUAUGGAAGGGAUUUUUAUGCUGUAGCUUGUCACCAGGCUGCAAGAGUCUCAGCAGCACACUACUAUAAUAACCAAAAUAAGCAGUAAGUUGACAAUGGCUCCCUACUCCCAGCACAUGAGGAAGCAUACCCAUGCCACAGCUUAGAGAGCAAUUAUAGCUUUUGGAGACCAGCUGGCCCAUCUGUUCCUGGUGCUGCUGCUACUACCAGCAAGGUGGAGUUCAGCUUGGAGGAGCUGCUCAGGAUUUUUCUUGGGCCUGUCUCUCGUGCCCAGUUGAGUUUCUGGCACCACCUCUGCUGCUCCAGGGUGUGCAAACAGGCAGUGGGGGAAAAAACAAAAGUGCUUAAUAUGCUGUGAGAGCUCCUUGUGCUGUGGAUCACUGUGAAGGAAAGCACAGUCCUGAGGGCAGCAGCUGCUGCUGGCAGCAUACAGAGGUUAGCAGAGCUGUGUCUGUGUGUCUGUCUGCAUGGCCUUGCCCUCUCCUGCAGCACAUCUGAGGCAAUGCAGAGAUGUGGUCACAUCUGCUGAGCAAGAGCUGGACACCUUUCCACGGCCCUGGGAGCAGCUGGGCAUGUUUGGAGACCUGCUGUGACUGUGAAGGCACUUCAGUCAUCACCUGCUGCUUCCCAGAUUAUGUUUUUUCCCCCACUGAUUGA